rnacentral:rRNA from 1 species
CAGCCGCCGCGGUAACACGGAGGGUGCAAGCGUUAUCCGGAUUUAUUGGGUUUAAAGGGUCCGUAGGCGGAUCUGUAAGUCAGUGGUGAAAUCUCACAGCUUAACUGUGAAACUGCCAUUGAUACUGCAGGUCUUGAGUAAAUUUGAAGUGGCUGGAAUAAGUAGUGUAGCGGUGAAAUGCAUAGAUAUUACUUAGAACACCAAUUGCGAAGGCAGGUCACUAAGAUUUAACUGACGCUGAUGGACGAAAGCGUGGGGAGCGAACAGGAUUAGAUACCCCAGUAGUCCCUGUCUCUUAUAA